rnacentral:rRNA from 1 species
CAGUAAGGCUGAGUAUUAGGCAAAUCCGGUACUCGUUAAGGCUGAGCUGUGAUGGGGAGAAGACAUUGUGUCUUCGAGUCGUUGAUUUCACACUGCCGAGAAAAGCCUCUAGAUAGAAAAUAGGUGCCCGUACCGCAAACCGACACAGGUAGUCAAGAUGAGAAUUCUAAGGUGAGCGAGCGAACUCUCGUUAAGGAACUCGGCAAAAUGACCCCGUAACUUCGGGAGAAGGGGUGCUCUUUAGGGUUAACGCCCAGAAGAGCCGCAGUGAAUAGGCCCAAGCGACUGUUUAUCAAAAACACAGGUCUCUGCUAAACCGUAAGGUGAUGUAUAGGGGCUGACGCCUGCCCGGUGCUGGAAGGUUAAGAGGAGUGGUUAGCUUCUGCGAAGCUACGAAUCGAAGCCCCAGUAAACGGCGGCCGUAACUAUAACGGUCCUAAGGUAGCGAAAUUCCUUGUCGGGUAAGUUCCGACCCGCACGAAAGGCGUAACGAUUUGGGCACUGUCUCAACGAGAGACUCGGUGAAAUCAUAGUACCUGUGAAGAUGCAGGUUACCCGCGACAGGACGGAAAGACCCCGUGGAGCUUUACUGUAGCCUGAUAUUGAAAUUCGGCACAGCUUGUACAGGAUAGGUAGGAGCCUUUGAAACGUGAGCGCUAGCUUACGUGGAGGCGCUGGUGGGAUACUACCCUAGCUGUGUUGGCUUUCUAACCCGCACCACUUAUCGUGGUGGGAGACAGUGUCAGGCGGGCAGUUUGACUGGGGCGGUCGCCUCCUAAAAGGUAACGGAGGCGCUCAAAGGUUCCCUCAGAAUGGUUGGAAAUCAUUCAUAGAGUGUAAAGGCAUAAGGGAGCUUGACUGCGAGACCUACAAGUCGAGCAGGGUCGAAAGACGGACUUAGUGAUCCGGUGGUUCCGCAUGGAAGGGCCAUCGCUCAACGGAUAAAAGCUACCCCGGGGAUAACAGGCUUAUCUCCCCCAAGAGUUCACAUCGACGGGGAGGUUUGGCACCUCGAUGUCGGCUCAUCGCAUCCUGGGGCUGUAGUCGGUCCCAAGGGUUGGGCUGUUCGCCCAUUAAAGCGGUACGCGAGCUGGGUUCAGAACGUCGUGAGACAGUUCGGUCCCUAUCCGUCGUGGGCGUAGGAAAUUUGAGAGGAGCUGUCCUUAGUACGAGAGGACCGGGAUGGACAUACCUCUGGUGUACCAGUUGUCGUGCCAACGGCAUAGCUGGGUAGCUAUGUGUGGACGGGAUAAGUGCUGAAAGCAUCUAAGCAUGAAGCCCCCCUCAAGAUGAGAUUUCCCAACUUCGGUUAUAAGAUCCCUCAAAGAUGAUGAGGUUAAUAGGUUCGAGGUGGAAGCAUGGUGACAUGUGGAGCUGACGAAUACUAAUCGAUCGAAGACUUAAUCAA